rnacentral:rRNA from 1 species
GCUAACGAGCGCAACCCUCGCUGUGUGUUACAAGUGUCACACGGAACUGCCGGUCAUAAACCGGAGGAAGGUGGGGAUGACGUCAAGUCAGCAUGGCCUUUAUAUCCUGGGCUACACACACGCUACAAUGGAAAGGGACAAUAGGUUGCGAAGCCGCGAGGUGGAGCCAAUCCAGCAAAACUUCCCUCAGUUCAGAUUGCAGGCUGCAACUCGCCUGCAUGAAGUUGGAGUUGCUAGUAAACGCAGGUCAGCCAUACUGCGUUGAAUACGUUCCCGGGGCUU